rnacentral:rRNA from 1 species
UGGCAGACGGGUGAGUAACACGUGGGAACGUACCCUUCGGUUCGGAACAACUCUGGGAAACUGGAGCUAAUACCGGAUACGCCCUUGGCCUCUGGCCCUGGGGAAAGGUUUACUGCCGAAGGAUCGGCCCGCGUCUGAUUAGCUAGUUGGUGUGGUAACGGCGCACCAAGGCGACGAUCAGUAGCUGGUCUGAGAGGAUGAUCAGCCACAUUGGGACUGAGACACGGCCCAA